GAAUAGUGAUGCAACCUGCUUCACUAUUCUUGUUAAGGAUUGCUUUAGCUAUUCUGGGUCUCUUAUUUUUCCAGAUGAAUUUAAUGACUGCUUUUUCUAGUUCUAUGAGAAAUGCCAUUGGGAUUUUGAUUGGAAUUACAUUAAACCUGUAUAGUGCUUUUGGUAGUAUGAUCAUUUUGACAAUAUUAAUUAAUUCUGCCUAUCCAAGAGCAAGGUAGCUCUUUCCAUCUUUUAAGAUCUUCUUUGUUGUUGUUUUUUUGUUUGUUUGUUUUGUUUUGUUUUGUUUUUGUUUGUUUGUUUGUUUUAGGAUUCUGUAGUUUUCAUUGUGAGGUCUUUCAUCUCUUUCAUUAGGUUGAUUCCCAAGUUGUUGUUUGUUUUUGUUUUUGUUUUGAGGCUAUUGUAAAUGGGGCAGUUUUCCUCAUUUCCCUUUCAGAGGAUUUGUCACUGAUAUACAGAAAUGCCUUUGAUUUAUGGGUGUUGGUUUUAUAUCCUGGUACUUUGCUGAAUUCAUUUACUAGUUCUAGAAGUUUUAUGGUGGAAUUUUUUGGGUCUUCUAGGUAUAGAAUCAUAUCAUUAGGAAAUAGUGAUUAUUUGAGUUCUUCUUUUCCUAUCCAUAUCCCUUUAAUUUAUUUUGUCUGUCUAAUUGCUCUGGCCAGUGUUUCAAGAACUAUGUUAAAUAGAAGUGGUGAAAGAGGGCAUCCCUGUCUUGUUCCAAUUUUUAGAGGGAAUGCUUUCAAUUUUUUUCCAUUUAGAAUGCUGUUGGCCUGGGGCUUAGCAUAGAUAGCUUCUACAAUGUUGAAAUAUAUUCCUAUUAUCCCUAGUUUUUCUAGUGUUUUGAACAUGAAUGGGUGCUGUAUUUUGUUAAAUGCUUUUUCUGUGUCUAUUGAGAAGAUGAUUCUUAUUUUUAAGUCUAUUGAUGUGAUGAAUUACAUUUAUUGAUUUCCAUAUGUUGACCCAACCUUGCAUCCCUAGGAUGAAUCCCACUUGAUUGUGGUACACUAUCUUUUGGAUAUGUUUUUGUAUUCGGUUGGUCAGAAUUUUAUUGAGAAUUUUUGCAUUUAUGUUCAUUAGAGAUAUUGGUCUGAAGUUUUUUUUUUCUUUGAUGUGUCUUUGUCUGGCUUAGGAAUCAGGAUGAUAUUGGCCUCAUAGAAUGAGUUUGGAAGUGCUCCCUCUUUUUCUAUUUCCUGAAAUAAAUUGAAGAGUAUUGGUAUUAGUUCUUCUUUAAAGGUCUUGUAGAACUCGG
rnacentral:lncRNA from 1 species